GACCUCGUAGCUCAGCUGGUAGGGCAUGCGCGUACAAAGCGUAGGCGGUGUCCAUGCGUGGGUUCGAAUCCCACCGAGGCUA
rnacentral:tRNA from 1 species